rnacentral:rRNA from 1 species
AACGAACGCUGGCGGCAUGCCUAACACAUGCAAGUCGAACGAGAUCUUCGGGUCUAGUGGCGCACGGGUGCGUAACGCGUGGGAAUCUGCCCUUUGGUUCGGAAUAACAGUUGGAAACGACUGCUAAUACCGGAUGAUGACGAAAGUCCAAAGAUUUAUCGCCAGAGGAUGAGCCCGCGUAGGAUUAGCUAGUUGGUGUGGGAAAGGCGCACCAAGGCGACGAUCCUUAGCUGGUCUGAGAGGAUGAUCAGCCACACCGGGACUGAGACACGGCCCAGACUCCUACGGGAGGGAGCAGUGGGGAAGAUUGGACAAUGGGCGAAAGCCUGAUCCAGCAAUGCCGCGUGAGUGAUGAAGGCCUUAGGGUUGUAAAGCUCUUUUACCCGGGAUGAUAAUGACAGUACCGGGAGAAUAAGCUCCGGCUAACUCCGUGCCAGCCGCCGCCGUAA